UACGUAGGGGGCUAGCGUUGUCCGGAAUCAUUGGGCGUAAAGCGCGUGUAGGCGGUUCGGUAAGUCCGCUGUGAAAGUCGGGGGCUCAACCCUCGAAUGCCGGUGGAUACUGUCGGACUAGAGUACGGAAGAGGCGAGUGGAAUUCCCGGUGUAGCGGUGAAAUGCGCAGAUAUCGGGAGGAACACCAAUUGCGAAGGCAGCUCGCUGGGACGUAACUGACGCUGAGACGCGAAAGCGUGGGGAGCAAACAGG
rnacentral:rRNA from 1 species